AACGAACGCUGGCGGCAUGCCUAACACAUGCAAGUCGAACGAGACCUUCGGGUCUAGUUGCGCACGGGUGCGUAACGCGUGGGAACCUGCCCUUAGGUUCGGAAUCCCUUCCCGCUAGGGUUGCUAAUACCGGAUAAUGUCUUCGGACCAAAGAUUUAUCGCCUUUGGAUGGGCCUGCGUUGGAUUAGCUAGUUGGUAGGGUAAAAGCCUAUCAAGGCGACGAUCCAUAGCUGGUCUGAGAGGAUGAUCAGCCACACUGGGACUGAGACACGGCCCAGAAUCCUACGGGAGGAAGCAGUGGGGAAUAUUGGAAAAUGGGCGAAAGCCUGAACCAGCAAUGACGCGUGAGUGAUGAAGGCAUUAGGGUAGUAAAGCUCUUUUAACCGGGAUGAUAAUGACAGUACCGGGAGAAUAAGCUCCGGCUAACUCCGUG
rnacentral:rRNA from 1 species